GGGCAGUCCACGUCGAGGGUGCUGGAACCGGCUCCGUGGUUUGGGCUCCAGAAUUGAUUACCCAUUUACACCCUCCGGUCCUAGAGUUUGUUAACAGUACCUGCGUCUUUCCAUUUCUGUAUGGUGACACCAUCUACUACAACUGCAUCUCCAUCCACAGCGAUUAUGAUUGGUGUUCACUCGACAAGAAAUUCCAAGGCAGAUGGCGAUACUGUACCGGGCAAGAUCCCCCCAAGUGUACCUUCCCCUUCUUCUACGGAAGAAAACUCUUUCACAAAUGCACCAAGGAGGGCUAUGUUUUGAAUCGGAGUUGGUGCUCACUGACAAAAAAUUAUAACCAAGAUGGAAAAUGGAAGCAAUGCUCUCCUCAUGAUCUUUAAAUAAGUCUUGGUGUCCUUGAAGAGACAGAAUUUGUAGGAUUCAUCAGCCACCUCUCAGAAUAUAUCGUUUCCCUGAUUAUUGUGACAAUAAAGAUUUAGCGUCUCUUCCCUG